GACGAACGCUGGCGGCGUGCCUAACACAUGCAAGUCGAACGAAGCAUUUAAGUGAAUCCCUUCGGGGUGAAGCUUUUAUGACUUAGUGGCGGACGGGUGAGUAACGCGUGAGUAACCUGCCUUUCAGAGGGGGAUAACAGUUGGAAACGACUGCUAAUACCGCAUAACGUGCUCGGGAGGCAUCUCUUGAGUACCAAAGAUUUAUCGCUGAUAGAUGGGCUCGCGUCUGAUUAGAUAGUUGGUGGGGUAACGGCCUACCAAGUCGACGAUCAGUAGCCGGACUGAGAGGUUGAACGGCCACAUUGGGACUGAGACACGGCCCAGACUCCUACGGGAGGCAGCAGUGGGGGAUAUUGGACAAUGGGGGCAACCCUGAUCCAGCGACGCCGCGUGAGGGAAGAAGGUUUUCGGAUUGUAAACCUCUGUCGACAGGGAAAAUGAUGAUGGUACCUGUGGAGGAAGCCACGGCUAACUACGUG
rnacentral:rRNA from 1 species